AUUUCGAGAAUUAAUCGUUCGUAUCGAUUCGACUCUGUACAGCAAGAGUAAUUCAGUCAUCAUGAAGAUUUUUUCAAUCGUAACUUUCGUUGUAAUGCUGAUUGCAGUUGUUAGUGGACAGCCUGGUUGUGGAGGACGUGGACGUCGGUGCCGAUUACAUCAUGAGUGUUGUGGAAGCCUUCUUUGUCGUAGCAGAAGAUGUCAAUAAAUUAAAAUCUAAUCAAUUUUACCCAAUGUCUACUUUGGAAUGAGAUGCAGACUGGAAAGUCCAUUAUCCAACGGCCCAUGAUUGUUUUAUGUGCGAACUCCAUUACUACAAUUAAUAUUUAAUUAUUAUAAUUACUAGUUUGUUGAAAUAUUUCCAUCCAUUGGCCCAUGGAAAUAUCCAUGCAAAUCCAUAAUUAAUUAAAAAUUAAUUGAUGUAAUUCAUCGUUUUAGUUGUCACUUGAAAUUUUGAAAAUGUAAUUGAAAUUAAUUGUAAUUGAAAAGUUCAACUUUGUAUGCGUUAAAAUACAUUAAAAAUACAAAAAACUGAUAAGAUAUUGAUUCUCUGUUGACACACCGCGAUGAACUGCUUGGGGUAUUUUAAUCUGCUCGAUGCAGCAUGCGAAAAUAUUUACACUGAAAAAAUAAACAUUGCAGAAAUGUUCGAGACUCUGUUCUCGUAUAAAAGCAAUAAAAUUCACCUGCCGUUGCCUGCGGUGAAAUUCAGGUCUGCGUCAUGAAGUUCUUAUCAAUUUUCAUGUUCUUCGUAAUGCUGACUGCUGCUGUCACAGAACACCAUUUUUUCAAGGGAUAAUUAAUAAAAAUUAAUAAUUGAUAAAAAGAUCCACAAUAUUCUGAUAAAGAAUUUUAAAAUUGUGAUAAAAUGUUGAUACACAUUAAUAAAUUUAAUGGUAAAUAUUUUUAUCUGUUUGAUGAAAUAUGAGAGAACAUUUUGAAAAGGAAAGAUAAAUCUUGGUGGAAUAAAUAUUGUCCACUUGUGGGAGACUUGGUCCUUAUAUAAAGACGAUCACUCUGACCACUCAGCACUGAUUUUAAAAUUCGUUGAGAAGUCUAAGGAAAAGUUUUUAUUGCAUCAUGAAAAUUCUAUCAAUUGUGACUUUCAUCGUAAUGCUGAUUGCAGCUGUCAGCGGACAAUGUCGAAGACGCGGUCGUCGGUGUCAAUUCCAUCACCAGUGUUGUGCAAGGUUACUUUGCCGCGGAGGAGCUUGUAUGUGAAAAUUCGCAUGUGCGUAAUAAUUCUCAUUUUUCCGGAAAUAAUUGCCGAAUCUGCACGGAGAAAAAUUUACAGCCGAAUUUCCUCUGGUGUUUUGAUAAAAAAAAAAUAUGACGCCUUCAGCAAAAAUUAACAAACGUCACUGCAAAUUUUACAACAAAUUUUUCGCGGUGUAUUACGCGAAUUAAAGUAAUUGACUCCCAAUUAUUUUUCCGUCAACAACAGGAACAUUUUGACGAUUUGCAUACACUGCAGUAAAUCAAUGUUUCAAUAAUUGUUUAUAUAAAUAUAAUUACAAUAAUGUCUAAUUAUUUUCUACUCUUCACAUGAAUGCUUGCAAAAGAAAUAUAUUUUAUUCAUCUAGUUUCUUUGGAACUGUCUCACCGCCAGAACCUCCAGAUCUUUCCAAUUUUUUUUAAACAAAAAACAUGUAUUUACGUUUUCUGUUAUUAAAAAUAUACUGAACAUGAUGGAGUGGCUUCGACCCUUUAUCAGUUAAGGCAACAUGUCAAAACAUUUGCAUGAGGAAAAAUAAACUUGAGAUAAGACUUGCGAAUACGUAGAGACGGUUGUCGUAUAAAAACGAUCUCUCCGAGCACUUGUCACUGGCAUUAAAAUUUAUCCUCCGUGAAUAACAAACAAUUUAUAAAAUUAAUCAUGAAGUUUAUCGCUAUUCUAACUUUCGUGGCGAUGCUGAUUGCUGCUGCCAAUGCUCAAGGCUGUGCUGCAACGGGACGUCCGUGCAUACGCCAUUCAACUUGUUGCGGAAUACUAGUUUGUCGUCAAGGAAAAUGUGCUCGUUAACUGAAAGAUCCUAAGGAAAUAGACAACUUACCUCGAACUGAAAAUAGCGCAGAGUCCGUGGACGAAUAUUUGCAGAUAAAAAAUGUACAAAAAUCGAUAAAAUAAUUUGUAUAAUAAAUUAAAUAUUAUAAAA